GACGAACGCUGGCGGCGUGCUUAACACAUGCAAGUCGAACGGUGAAGCGCCUUCCUUUUUGGUGGGUGUGGAUGAGUGGCGAACGGGUGAGUAACACGUGAGUAACCUGCCCCCUUCUUCUGGAUAACCGCAUGAAAGUGUGGCUAAUACGGGAUAUUCUGGGUCUGUCGCAUGAUGGGUCUGGGAAAGAUAUUGUUUCGGUGGGGGAUGGGCUCGCGGCCUAUCAGCUUGUUGGUGGGGUGAUGGCCUACCAAGGCGGUGACGGGUAGCCGGCCUGAGAGGGUGGACGGUCACACUGGGACUGAGACACGGCCCAGACUCCUACGGGAGGCAGCAGUGGGGAAUAUUGCACAAUGGGCGCAAGCCUGAUGCAGCGACGCCGCGUGAGGGAUGGAGGCCUUCGGGUUGUGAACCUCUUUCGCCAGUGAAGCAGGCCUGCCCCGUUUGUGGGUGGGUUGACGGUAGCUGGAUAAGAAGCGCCGGCUAACUACGUG
rnacentral:rRNA from 1 species